AGUGAACGCUGGCGGUAGGCCUAACACAUGCAGGUCGAACGGCAGCACAGUAAGAGCUUGCUCUUACGGGUGGCGAGUGGCGGACGGGUGAGGAAUACAUCGGAAUCUACUUUUUCGUGGGGGAUAACGUAGGGAAACUUACGCUAAUACCGCAUACGACCUACGGGUGAAAGCAGGGGAUCUUCGGACCUUGCGCGAUUGAAUGAGCCGAUGUCGGAUUAGCUAGUUGGCGGGGUAAAGGCCCACCAAGGCGACGAUCCGUAGCUGGUCUGAGAGGAUGAUCAGCCACACUGGAACUGAGACACGGUCCAGACUCCUACGGGAGGCAGCAGUGGGGAAUAUUGGACGAUGGGCGCAAGCCUGAUCCAGCCAUACCGCGUGGGUGAAGAAGGCCUUCGGGUUGUAAAGCCCUUUUGUUGGGAAAGAAAAGCAGCAGGUUAAUACCCCGCUGUUCUGACGGUACCCAAAGAAUAAGCACCGGCUAACUUCGUG
rnacentral:rRNA from 1 species